rnacentral:rRNA from 1 species
UACAGAGGUCCCAAGCGUUGUUCGGAUUCACUGGGCAUAAAGGGUGCGCAGGUGGGUUUGCAAGUUCGAUGUGAAAGCCCCGGGCUUAACCCGGGAAUGGCAUUGGAUACUGCAGAUCUGGAGGAUCGGAGGGGGGACUGGAAUUCUUGGUGUAGCAGUGAAAUGCGUAGAUAUCAAGAGGAACACCAGUGGCGAAGGCGAGUCCCUGGACGAUACCUGACACUGAGGCACGAAAGCUAGGGGAGCAAACAGG